GGUUAAGCGACUAAGCGUACACGGUGGAUGCCCCUGGCAGUCAGAGGCGAUGAAGGACGUGCUAAUCUGCGAUAAGCGUCGGUAAGGUGAUAUGAACCGUUAUAACCGGCGAUUUCCGAAUGGGGAACCAGUGUGUUUUCGACACCACCUAUCAUAACUGAAUCCAUAGGUUAAUGAGGCGAACCGGGGGAACUGAAACAUCUAAGUACCCCGAGGAAAAGAAAUUCAACCGAGAUUCCCCCAGUAGCGGCGAGCGAACGGGGAGCAGCCCAGAGCCUGAAUUCAGUGUGUGUGUUAGUGGAAGCGUCUGGAAAGGCGCGGCGAUACAGGGUGACAGCCCGUACACAAAAAUGCACAUGCUGUGAGCUCGAUGAGUAGGGCGGGACCGUGGUAUCCUGUCUGAAUAUGGGGGGGACCAUCAUCCAAGGCUAAAUUACUCCUCGAUGACCGAUAGUGAACCAGUACCGUGAGGAAAGGCGCGACAAAUAACCCCGCGAGGGGAGUGAAAAAAAGACCUGAAAACCGUGUACGUACAAGCAGUGGGAGCCUCUUUAUGGGGUGACUGCGUACCUUUUGUAUAAUGGGUCAGCGACUUAUAUUCUGUAGCAAGGUUAACCGAAUAGGGGAGCCGAAGGGAAACCGAGUCUUAACUGGGCGUUAAGUUGCAGGGUAUAGACCCGAAACCCGGUGAUCUAGCCAUGGGCAGGUUGAAGGUUGGGUAACACUAACUGGAGGACCGAACCGACUAAUGUUGAAAAAUUAGCGGAUGACUUGUGGCUGGGGGUGAAAGGCCAAUCAAACCGGGAGAUAGCUGGUUCUCCCCGAAAGCUAUUUAGGUAGCGCCUCGUGAAUUCAUCUCCGGGGGUAGAGCACUGUUUCGGCAAGGGGGUCAUCCCGACUUACCAACCCGAUGCAAACUGCGAAUACCGGAGAAUGUUAACGGGAGACACACGGCGGGUGCUAACGUCCGUCGUGAAGAGGGAAACAAACCGACCGCCAGCUAAGGUCCCAAAGUCAUGGUUAAGUGGGAAACGAUGUGGGGCCAGACAGCAGGAUGUUGGCUUAGAAGCAGCCAUCAUGGUGAAAGAAAGCGCGUCGGGUAAACCUGCACGCGGAUGGUCGGAAGAUGCACGGGUGUAGGGGAAACUGAACGAGGGGCUGCGGGAUGUGGACGUUGGGUGGGGGAGCGUUCUUGUAAGCCUGUGAAGGUGUGCUGUGAGGCAUGCUGGAGGUCAAAGUGUGGAAUGUGAGACAUAAGUAAGCGAUAAAGCGGGUGAAAACCGCUCGCCGGAAGACCAAGGUUCCUGUCCAACGUUAAUCGGGCAGGGGUGAGUCGACCCCUAAGGCGAGGCCGAAAGGCGUAGUCGAUGGGAAACAGGUUAAUAUUCCUGUACUUGGUGUUACUGCGAAGGGGGGACGGAGAAGGCUAUGUUGGCCGGGCGACGGUUGUCCCGGUUUAAGCGUGUAGGCUGGUUUUCCAGGCAAAUCCGGAAAAUCAAGGCUGAGGCGUGAUGACGAGGCACUACGGUGCUGAAGCAACAAAUGCCCUGCUUCCAGGAAAAGCCUCUAAGCAUCAGGUAACAUCAAAUCGUACCCCAAACCGACACAGGUGGUCAGGUAGAGAAUACCAAGGCGCUUGAGAGAACUCGGGUGAAGGAACUAGGCAAAAUGGUGCCGUAACUUCGGGAGAAGGCACGCUGAUAUGUAGGUGAAGUCCCUCGCGGAUGGAGCUGAAAUCAGUCGAAGAUACCAGCUGGCUGCAACUGUUUAUUAAAAACACAGCACUGUGCAAACACGAAAGUGGACGUAUACGGUGUGACGCCUGCCCGGUGCCGGAAGGUUAAUUGAUGGGGUUAGCGGUAACGCGAAGCUCUUGAUCGAAGCCCCGGUAAACGGCGGCCGUAACUAUAACGGUCCUAAGGUAGCGAAAUUCCUUGUCGGGUAAGUUCCGACCUGCACGAAUGGCGUAAUGAUGGCCAGGCUGUCUCCACCCGAGACUCAGUGAAAUUGAACUCGCUGUGAAGAUGCAGUGUACCCGCGGCAAGACGGAAAGACCCCGUGAACCUUUACUAUAGCUUGACACUGAACAUUGAGCCUUGAUGUGUAGGAUAGGUGGGAGGCUUUGAAGUGUGGACGCCAGUCUGCAUGGAGCCGACCUUGAAAUACCACCCUUUAAUGUUUGAUGUUCUAACGUUGACCCGUAAUCCGGGUUGCAGACAGUGUCUGGUGGGUAGUUUGACUGGGGCGGUCUCCUCCUAAAGAGUAACGGAGGAGCACGAAGGUUGGCUAAUCCUGGUCGGACAUCAGGAGGUUAGUGCAAUGGCAUAAGCCAGCUUGACUGCGAGCGUGACGGCGCGAGCAGGUGCGAAAGCAGGUCAUAGUGAUCCGGUGGUUCUGAAUGGAAGGGCCAUCGCUCAACGGAUAAAAGGUACUCCGGGGAUAACAGGCUGAUACCGCCCAAGAGUUCAUAUCGACGGCGGUGUUUGGCACCUCGAUGUCGGCUCAUCACAUCCUGGGGCUGAAGUAGGUCCCAAGGGUAUGGCUGUUCGCCAUUUAAAGUGGUACGCGAGCUGGGUUUAGAACGUCGUGAGACAGUUCGGUCCCUAUCUGCCGUGGGCGCUGGAGAACUGAGGGGGGCUGCUCCUAGUACGAGAGGACCGGAGUGGACGCAUCACUGGUGUUCGGGUUGUCAUGCCAAUGGCACUGCCCGGUAGCUAAAUGCGGAAGAGAUAAGUGCUGAAAGCAUCUAAGCACGAAACUUGCCCCGAGAUGAGUUCUCCCUGACUCCUUGAGAGUCCUGAAGGAACGUUGAAGACGACGACGUUGAUAGGCCGGGUGUGUAAGCGCAGCGAUGCGUUGAGCUAACCGGUACUAAUGAACCGUGAGGCUUAACCUU
rnacentral:rRNA from 1 species